rnacentral:rRNA from 1 species
ACGAACGCUGGCGGCGUGCUUAACCCAUGCAAGUCGAACGGUGAAGCGCCUUCCUUUUUGGUGGGUGUGGAUGAGUGGCGAACGGGUGAGUAACACGUGAGUAACCUGCCCCCUUCUUCUGGAUAACCGCAUGAAAGUGUGGCUAAUACGGGAUAUUCUGGGUCUGUCGCAUGAUGGGUCUGGGAAAGAUAUUGUUUCGGUGGGGGAUGGGCUCGCGGCCUAUCAGCUUGUUGGUGGGGUGAUGGCCUACCAAGGCGGUGACGGGUAGCCGGCCUGAGAGGGUGGACGGUCACACUGGGACUGAGACACGGCCCAGACUCCGACGGGAGGCAGCAGGGGGGAAUAGUGCACAAUGGGCGCAAGCCUGAUGCAGCGACGCCGCGUGAGGGAUGGAGGCCCUCGGGUUGUGAACCUCUUUCGCCAGUGAAGCAGGCCUGCCUCGUUUGUGGGUGGGUUGACGGUAGCUGGAGAAGAAGCGCCGGCUAACUACGUG